rnacentral:tRNA from 3 species
GCUGGUGUAGCUCAGUGGUAGAGCACCCGCCUUGUAAGCGGGCGGUCGUCAGUUCAAAUCUGUCCACCAGCU